AUUGAACGCUGGCGGCAUGCCUUACACAUGCAAGUCGAACGGCAUCGCGGGAAAGCUUGCUUUCCUGUCGGCGAGUGGCGAACGGGUGAGUAACACAUCGGAACGUACCGGCUAGUGGGGGAUAACCCGUCGAAAGACGGGCUAAUACCGCAUACGCUCUUCGGAGGAAAUCAGGGGACCUUUGGGCCUUGCGCUAGCCGAGCGGCCCAUGUCCGAUUCGCUAGUUGGUGGGGUAAAGGCCUACCAAGGCGACGAUCGGUAGCGGGUGUGAGAGGACGAUAGGCCACACUGGGAGUGAACCAGGGACAAGAGGACUAAGGGAGGCAGCAGUGGGGAAUGUUGGACAGUGGGGGCAAACAUGAUACAGCAAGGCAGAGUGGGUGAAGAAGGCCUUCGGGUAGUAAAGACCGUCUGGGAGGGAAGAAAUCGGCGGAGCGAAGAACAAUGCAGAAUGACGGUACCUGCAGAAGAAGCACCGGCUAACUACGUG
rnacentral:rRNA from 1 species